UUGCACCCAGGUCCCAGUCAACACUCAGUCACUCAUUCCUCACUCCUCUCUCUCUCUCUCUUCCUCACGCACUCACUCUCUCACGGUCUCAACUCUCACCUUCACUCACGAAUCACGAUCCAGAGUUCCAGACCACCACCGGCCACCAGCCCACCACCACGGUACCACCACUACACCAGGCCCCAGCCACCACCACGGCACCACUCAUUGAUUCACGGUUCGACUGUUUCAGUGUUCACUCUUUUCUCUCUCUCUCUCUCUCUCUCUCAACGCUGCAACCCACCAGGCGGCAGCCACAGCCCACCAACGCCACCAGUCCACCACCACCGCCCACCGGCGGCCGCCCAACGCACCACCACUCUCUCUCUCUGCUGCUGUUGAAGACUUGAAGCUUGAAGUGAAAUUAGACUGGGAAAUAAGCUUGUUGUCUUGGUUUGAGAUUGGAAAUUUGGAAUGUGAAGGGAAAUGAUUUCAGAUUGCUCAAGUCUGUCAUGAAUGAUUUGUAUAUAACUUCAUGUAUUAAUCUAAUUUAAGUCUACUC